rnacentral:rRNA from 1 species
GACGGGGCCCGCACAAGCGGUGGAGCAUGUGGUUAAUUCGACGCAACGCGAAGAACCUUACCAGGGCUUGACAUCCCCUGACCGCGUAUGAAAGUACGUUUUCACCCUCGGGUGACAGGGAGACAGGUGGUGCAUGGUUGUCGUCAGCUCGUGUCGUGAGAUGUUGGGUUAAGUCCCGCAACGAGCGCAACCCCUACGUUUAGUUGCUAACGCGUGAAGGCGAGCACUCUAGACGAACUGCCGUUGACAAAACGGAGGAAGGUGGGGAUGACGUCAAAUCAUCAUGCCCCUUAUGUUCUGGGCUACACACGUGCUACAAUGGCCGGUACAGACGGACGCAAAGCCGCGAGGUGGAGCAAAUCCUAAAAAGCCGGUCUCAGUUCGGAUUGCAGGCUGCAAUUCGCCUGCAUGAAGUCGGAAUCGCUAGUAAUCGCAGGUCAGCAUACUGCGGUGAAUACGUUCCCGGGCCUU